GUACAAACUCGCGCUGGGCAUCGAAAAAAUAAUGGUGACAAGCGGGGCUGCUGUGAUUUGGAGAAUGACUCUUCUGGUGCUCCCCAAAUGGCCCCCACUGCCAAACUCCAGAAGCACACACAUGAGCUGGAGCUUGCUAAAAUGAAAAUAGCUUGUCAGGAAGAAAUGAUCAAACAGCUAACCAAGGAGAGAGACUUUCUAAAAGACCAUCUUGCUCGGACAUCAAGAAACAUGAACAAUGAUGACCCAUCCCCUGAAGCAUUUGCAUCACAU